rnacentral:misc_RNA from 1 species
UUUUUUUUUUUUUUUUUCAAGUUCUUUACUUCAUUGAUCAACUACAGAACAUUGUAUUACACUGAGGCUGCAGCUUGCAGGAGUUAGCUAUUUAGAGUGAAGAAGAGCAAAAAUGAACGGCUUGGAUGGAUUCAUGCGAUGGAAGAAUCUAAAGCAACGACUAUCAUUCAAGGGCCUGGGUUGCUGUGGUGGAACUUGGACUCCUAGAGCCACAAUCAGGACCAUUAUAGAGGAAGACGAAGAAGAAGAAG